rnacentral:lncRNA from 1 species
UCACAUUGGAUGACAAAACUGAAAAAACUCAAAUUCUCUUUCUUUGCUUUUUUCACCACUGUGUUAUCCGUGUUUGUUUCAAAGCUGCUAUUUAAACAUGAAGUACGCAGUGCCAUGGGGCUGGAGAUGUGGUCGAUACAGAGACAGAGCAAACAUUCAGGCCAUGGUAAACUUGCUUUUGAAAUGAAGGGCUUUCAAGAUUAAGUGACUUUUAGUCAAUCAUGAC